ensembl:snRNA U1 U1 spliceosomal RNA
AUACUUACCUGGUAGAGGAGAGAUACCAGGAUUACAAAGGUGAUAUUUUUCUCUGGGCACAUCUUACCCGUUGCACUCCAGGUGCACUGGCCUCUGUGAUUUUUCUCAACUAUGGGAAACUGGACUGCAUGAUUUGUGGUAGAGAGGGAUUAUGUCUGUGCUCUCC